rnacentral:rRNA from 1 species
UACAGAGGUCUCAAGCGUUGUUCGGAUUCAUUGGGCGUAAAGGGUGUGUAGGUGGCGCGCUAAGUCGGGUGUGAAAUUUCGGAGCUUAACUCCGAAACUGCAUUCGAUACUGGCGUGCUUGAGGACUGGACGAGGAGACUGGAAUUUACGGUGUAGCAGUGAAAUGCGCAGAUAUCCGUAAGGAAGACCAGUGGCGAAGGCGGGUCUCUGGGCUGACACUGACGCUCAUGCACGAAAGCGUGGGGAGCAAACAGG